rnacentral:lncRNA from 1 species
GACAAGAGGAAAGUCUUCUUCAUUCUUGUCAACUCCUUUCUUGCUUCCAGUCUAGUUUCAAGGGUCUCUAGUUUUCUUGUCUUUUGGCAAUAGCCAUUCUAGUUUUUCUUUCAAUAUACAUACUUGUUUAUUCAUAUUUUGUUACCUUUUUUUGAGUGAAGGCUCACUUGUAUGAAUUGCUUUUUCAUCGAGUUCUUGUCCUUGACAUCCUCUUCAAGUCGAGUUAAAAUCUUUUCACAAUCUUGUAUAUGAUCAACAAUAUAUUUGCGACACCCCC